GUACUACUGACAAGUCCCACAAUAAGACGAAACGGCUGUCCAGUAC
rfam:Schistosoma mattheei strain Denwood, Zambia genome assembly, scaffold: SMTD_contig0007348